CUUUGGCCUCAAAUCAGACCUGGUGACCCGCUGAAUUUUACGCACAUUACUAAGCGGAGGAAAAGAAACUAACCAGGAUUCCGUCACUAACGGCGAGGGAAGAGCCAGUGCCAAAUCCCUGUUCAGCGGCCACCGUGGAAAUGUGGCGUACAGAAGACCGACUCCCAGCACACUCAUGGGGCUCAAGUCCUUCUGAUUGACUCUCACCCCACGGACAAUGUUAGGCCGGUAGCAGUCUUUGUCAUGCCGGGAUCAGGUCUUGGAGUCCUGUUGCCUGGAAUGCAUCCCAGAUCAUGUGGUAAACUCCGUCUAAGGCUAAAUACAGACGCGAAACGGAUGGCUAACAUUACUGUAAGGGAAAACUUUGAAGAGUUCCAGAGGGCGUGGAACAGUUGAGGUAAACUGGUGGGGUCCGUGCAGUCUGCCCGCAGGAUUCAACACGGCAGGCUGGUCGGUUGCUUUCAACGGUGGAUGCUCUUGCAGGAGUGCAGCCCAGCCCCCGCAGGGCGUAUUUCCUCUCUGGCGGUGCACCGCAACCGACUGGGAAGGCCCCACGGGGCAGGUGGCUCUCUGCUCCGGCAGAGAGUGUUACAGCCCAGGGCUGCUGUUUUGCGGUGUCCGCGGGGCCGUGGGAGAUUGCCGGAGAAGGGCAUGGCAGCGGUCAAUCGUCCUGACCCUUCCCGAGGGUUGCCAGGGCGGCAAUGGGAGACAGGGCUCCCGAUGUGACUGUGGCGGACUGCCCUCAGUACGCGCGACCAUGUCGUGCCGCUGGGUGGGGAGGCAUACAAAGGGCACCAGGAGUCUGUGGUGAUGUCGGUUAACCACUCGACCCGUCUUGAAACACAGGCCAAGGAGUCUUAACACGUGUGCGCGUCGGAGGGCCAAAUUAACCCCUGUGGUGCAAAGGUGAGGCCGGGGCGUGCCGAUUGUGGUGAGCGCACCACCGACAAGUCUCACUCUCUCUGUCAGAGAGAUGGAGCAUGAGCAUGUGUGAUAGGACCCGAAAGAUGGUGAACUAGACCUGAUGGGAGGUCUGUAGCGGUACUGAUGGGUAAAUCGGUCGUCCGACCUGGGUAUAGGGGCGAAAGAGUAAUCGAAACAUCUAGUAGCUGGUCCGCUCCAGAGUUUUCCUCUGUAUAGCUGGCGCAUGGAAAACCAGUUUUAUCUGAUAUAGCGAAUGAUUAGAGGUAUUGGGUCCAAAUGAUCUCAACCUAUUCUCAAACUUUGAAUGGGUAAGAAGCCCGGCUCGCUAGCGUGGAGCCGGGCAUUGAAUGCAAGUGGGCAACCUUUAUUAAGCAGAUCUGGCGCUGCAUGAUGAACCGAAUGCCGGCUUAAGGACGCCCGAUGCUGACACUCAUCAGACCCCAGAAUAGGUGUUGGUUGAUAUAGACAGCAGGAUGGUGGCCAUGGAAGUCGGAAUCUGCUAAGGAGCCCCGGGGAGAGUUCUCUUUUUCUUUGUGAAGUGCAGGGCACCCUGGAAAUGGGUUUGCCCUGAGAGAGGGGCCCGAGCCUUGGAAAGCACUGCGGUUCCGGUGGCGUGCAGUGAGCUCUCGCUUGUCUUUGAAAAUUCAGGGGAGAUGGUGUAAAUCUCGCGCCAGGCUGUACCUAUACCCUCAGCAGGUCUCCAAGGUGAACAGCCUCUGGCAUGUCGGAACAAUGUAGUUAAGGGAAGCCAGCAAGUCAGAUCUGUAACUUUGGGAUAAGGAUUGGCUCCAAGGACUGGGUCCGGUCAGGCAGAGGCACGCAGCGGUUGAACGCAGCGUCUCACCCUCCCUCCUUCCUGGGGGCGAUGGUGACUCUGGAUGCGGGCCGGUCCCUGCUGUGGAUCGCCCCAGUGCUGUGGUCGCCUCUCUCUGUUCCCUUCCCGGGGUUCGGGGCCAAUGUUAUGCCUUGGCCGAUGCCUAGCAGCUGACUUAAAACUGGUGCGGACCAGGGGAAUCUGACAGUUAAAUUAAAACAGCAUUGCAAAGGCCUUUCGGUGGGUGUUGAUGCAAUGUGAUUUCUGGCCAGUGCGUGAAUGUCAAGUGAAGAAAUUCAAUGAAGCGCAGAUAAAAAGCGGGAGUAACUAUUCUUGAGGUCGCCAAAUGCCUUGUCAUCUAAUUAGUGACACGCAUGAAUGGAUGAAUGCGAUUCCCACUGUUCCUACCUACUAUCUAGCCAAACCACAGCCAAGGGAACGGGCGUGGCAGAAUCAGCGGGGAAAGAAGACCCAGGCGGGCUUACCUCUAGUCUGGCACCAUGAAGACACAUGCGAGGUGUAGGAUAAGUGGGAGGCCGCCAGUGAAAUACCACUACUCUUAUCGUUUUUUCACUUACCCGGUGAGGUGGGGGGCGAGCAAUGUGGGGCUCUCAUUUCUGGCUCCAAGCGCCCGUGACCCGCUCCAGGGACAGUGGCAGUUGGGGAGUUUGACUGGGGCGGUACACCUGUCAAACAAUAAUGCAGGUGUCCUAAGGCGAGCUCAGGGAGGACAGAAACCUCCCACGGAGCAGAAGGGCAAAAGCUCGCUUGAUGCCGAUUUUUCAGUAUGCCUACAGACCGUGAAAGCGGGGCCUCACGAUCUUUCUGACUUUUUGGGUUUCAAUCAGGUGUCGUCAGAAAAGAUAACACAGGGAUAACUGGCUUGAGGCGGCCAAGCGUUCAUAGCGACGUGAAUGCUCCUUCACUUCCCUCU
rnacentral:rRNA from 1 species